UAGAGGUGCCAUGGUGCCAGAGCUAGGACUGGAACCCAGGCCUCCUAGCUCCCAGUUGAGGUCAGCUCUAACUGCUCUCUGGCUUGGAGCAGACAUUUUCCUGGUCUCCUGUACUCUGGAACUUUCUUCCAACCCCUUGUCUGUCUUGCUGCUUUCUGCCCUGCUGACCAGGUGCUGAUUUGAACUUCCAGGCUACUGAUCUCAACAACCAGAGCCUCAGGAAUACAUCCAAUAAGAACUCACAACUUUCAUGUCUCUUGACUCAGAGGGGAAGGUGGCGGAACCUUUGCUCUAAACUGCUGUUCCUGGCUUCAGUCAGAGAGGAACAACAAGGUAUUCUCAAGAAGGCCACCACAGGACAGCCCUGUGUGUCCCACACGGACAUAGACCGCUAGCAGCUGCAGCAGGCUUUGGCUCACGUCCACUCCGGGAAAGCUUAUUCUGAGUUUUCAUCCUUUUCACAGCGCACUGGUGCUGGGGUCACCAUGGCACCCAAGAGUCAUCAGUUCAGAGAGGGCUUCAAUGCAGGCGCCUGGGGGGACUGUGGGAUGCCACAAAUAUCCUUUCUCCAAGCAAUUCCAAAGUCUGGAAAUAGAGGAACUUCUGUGAAGAUGAGCAAACUCUACAACCCUUGUCAGACCCUACUUGACCCCACUCAAAACCCCAUCUGAGCAUCUGUCCCCAUCUGUUUAGAGACGUGAGGGUUAUUUUCGGCACUGUCUGAAUGAAUGUUCAUCCUUCUCAUGGUAACAGGUGGAAUAUGGAGAGUUGAUGUCUUGGUCUACAAAAGCCUUUACAGAGAUGACACACUUUCCACUCCAGGAGCACCCACAUCAAAAAACAAGGGGAGUGAAGGUUGCCAAUCAGCUGACCUGGAGCUGAGCAGCGUCAUGGAUUAUCCAGGUGGUCCCAAUGUAAUCACUGAGGCCCUUGCAAGUGAAAGACGCAGCAGGAGAGUGACUGUAUGAGGCAUACAGGUGAGACUAGACCGGCCAAUCCUGGCUUUGAGGAUAGAAGAGGGCUGGGAGCCAAAGAAUGCAGGCAGCUUCUAGAAGCUGGAAAAGGCAAGAAAACAGAUUCUUCCCUUGAGCCCCCAGAAGGAACACGGCCCUGCCAACAAAUGAGUUUAGUCCAGGGAGACCCAUUUUGAGCUUCUGACUUCCAGAAUGGUAAGAUAAUAAAUUUGUGUUGUUUUAAGCCACCUUAUUUG